GGUGCUUUAGCUUAAUAGGUGAAAGCAUUCGACUUAUAAUCGAAAGAGUGAUGGUUCAAUCCCAUCAAGCACCACCA
rnacentral:tRNA from 2 species